rnacentral:rRNA from 1 species
CUCAGAUCAUGUAAGAUUUUAAUGAUCGAACAGAUCAAAAUUUUAAACUUUUGCAUUUAAAUUUUAUCUUAAUCCAACAUCGAGGUCGCAAACUUUUUUUUUUAUUUGAACUAAAAAAAAAUAUUACGCUGUUAUCCCUAAGGUAAUUUUUUCUUAUAAUCAUUAUUAAUGGAUCAUUUAAUCAUUUAUUUAUGUUUAAUUUUUAAAAAAAGUUUAUCAUAUUUUUCUAUCACCCCAAUAAAAUAAAUAAUUUUAUUUUAAUAAAAAAUUUAAUAUAAUUUUAAAAUAAAAAUAAAUAUAAAACUCUAUAGGGUCUUCUCGUCUUUUAAAAUUAUUUUAGCUUUUUAACUAAAAAAUAAAUUUCUAAAAAUAAAUAAGAGACAGUCUAUAUUUCAUCAAAUCUUUCAUACAAGUUUCCAAUUAAAAAACUAUUGAUUAUGCUACCUUUGUACAGUCAUUAUACUGCAGCCCUUUAAUAAUUAUCAGUGGGCAGAUUAGACUUUAAAUUAUAUUCAAAAAGACAUGUUUUU